rnacentral:rRNA from 1 species
UACAGAGACUGCAAGCGUUAUUCGGAUUCACUGGGCGUAAAGGGUGCGCAGGCGGCCGAGUGUGUGAGGCGUGAAAGCCCGGGGCUUAACCCCGGAAUUGCACCUCAAACUACACGGUUAGAGCAUUGGAGAGGGUAGCAGAAUUCAUGGUGUAGCAGUGAAAUGCGUAGAUAUCAUGAGGAAUACCAGAGGCGAAGGCGGCUACCUGGACAAUUGCUGACGCUCAGGCACGAAAGCGUGGGGAGCAAAAGGG